GAGACGGUAGUGGAGUGGUUAGCACGCGUCCGUGGAAAGGAUGAAACGCGCGUUGAAAUCCCGCCCGACUUG